rnacentral:lncRNA from 1 species
AGUUGAAAUGCAAUUAUCGAGAGUGAUAUUGUUGUUGGUGUGUUCGAAUGAGAUUAAAAUUACGGACUAAUGACUUUUUAUCCUGAUGAAAAUUGUAGCACUUUCCUUAUUCAUCUGAUUCUUGCAUAAUGAGGAAAGUGGGCAAAAUAACUGGAAUUGCUUUGUCUUUGAAUCUUCCAUAAAAUAAAUAGUUAUUAUUCUUAUAAAGAUUUUGGACUGAGAUUUUUAUGAUUACAAAUAAUUGUUAACAGAUAUUUAAAUUGUAUGCAGAGA